rnacentral:rRNA from 1 species
AUUGAACGCUGGCGGCAGGCCUAACACAUGCAAGUCGAGCGGAUGAAGGGAGCUUGCUCCUGGCUUCAGCGGCGGACGGGUGAGUAAUGCCUAGGAAUCUGCCUUGUAGUGGGGGAUAACGUCCGGAAACGGGCGCUAAUACCGCAUAGGUCCUGAGGGAGAAAGUGGGGGAUCUUCGGACCUCACGCUAUCAGAUGAGCCUAGGUCGGAUUAGCUAGUUGGUGGGGUAAAGGCCUACCAAGGCGACGAUCCGUAACUGGUCUGAGAGGAUGACCAGUCACACUGGAACUGAGACACGGUCCAGACUCCUACGGGAGGCAGCAGUGGGGAAUAGUGGACAAUGGGCGAAAGCCUGAUCCAGCCAUGCCGCGUGUGUGAAGAAGGUCUUCGGAUUGUAAAGCACUUUAAGUUGGGAGGAAGGGCAGUAAGUUAAUACCUUGCUGUUUUGACGGUACCAACAGAAUAAGCACCGGCUAACUUCGUG